GGAAGCGGCCCUUCCAUGUUCUACACAUCUCAGCUGGUCUGAUCCAUACAAUUUAGCCCGAAUGUGCCAAACAGUGAUAAAGUUGGGGUGUGGCGACCCACCUUCGAUGCAAGCGAACCGGCUCCGAAGUUGGUGUGCGAGUCGGCAGACAGGCCAGCCACAAAAUGGCGCUGGGCCUUCUUCAACAACGAGGGGAGAAAACCCGCAUGCGGGAAGAGGUUCGGUUGGCGCACCUCUGACGUCAUCGCCACGCAUCAAGCGCAGGAACUUAACGGCUUAAAAACCAGUGCGGCAAGAUUCAAAUAAACCAGUCUCAAGUUCAA